GACGAACGCUGGCGGCGUGCUUAACACAUGCAAGUCGAACGGAAAGGCCCCUUUGGGGGUACUCGAGUGGCGAACGGGUGAGUAACACGUGAGUAACCUGCCCUUGACUUCGGGAUAACUUCAGGAAACUGGGGCUAAUACCGGAUAGGAAUCCUUGCUGCAUGGUGGGGGUUGGAAAGCUUCGGGGGGUUUGGAUGGACUCGCGGGUUGUCAGCUUGUUGGUGGGGUGGUGGCUUACCAAGGCUUUGACGGGUAGCUGGCCUGAGAGGGCGACCGGCCACAUUGGGACAGAGAUACGCCCCAGACUCCUCCGGGAGGCAGAAGUGGGGAAUAUUGCACAAUGGGCGGGAGCGUGAUGCAGCAACGCCGCGUGCGGGAUGACGGCCUUCGGGUUGUAAACCGCUUUCAGCAGGGGCGAAGCUUGUGGUGACGGUACCUGCAGAAGAAGCACCGGCUAACUACGUG
rnacentral:rRNA from 1 species